rnacentral:lncRNA from 10 species
UUUCUGAAUAACAAAGCACAGUGGAAUCACUCAGGAAAUGCGAAGGGUUUGGGAAGCUCUGUGCCAGAAACCAUGGACAAAGACAAACAGGCAUUCAGCUCUGUGAAUAAAAGCAUUCUGCUGAUUUCUGCUGCCCUGUAUCCAGACGGAAGGAAUGGCUGAAGAAAUGGAGGUGCUACUGGCUCAAGGAACCUGGAUUCAUUUAGAGAGUGUGCCCAGGAUGAGACGUGUGGAGAGCCUGGCCUGAACCAACACUAACAGUCUCCUGGACAGGAGAUAAGAAAAUGGAGGUCACGAGCUGGAGAACUCCUUGCUCAAGUUGCAUAGCUAAUAAGGGACUUAGCUGGGAUUCCUGGCCAGCAGUGUGGCUCCAGGCCUGGUUUCUAACUUCCCCUUGUUGGCAACCACCUUCACAGAGGAAUGCAAGAGGGCCCCAUCACAGAAGAGAAAGGAAUGCUAAUAUUUGUCUUUGAUGGCCAGCAGGGUCCUGGAGGACAUGAACGUUUUGCAAGCCGAA